rnacentral:rRNA from 1 species
ACGUGCUAAUCUGCGAUAAGCGUCGGUAAGGUGAUAUGAACCGUUAUAACCGGCGAUUUCCGAAUGGGGAAACCCAGUGUGUUUCGACACACUAUCAUUAACUGAAUCCAUAGGUUAAUGAGGCGAACCGGGGGAACUGAAACAUCUAAGUACCCCGAGGAAAAGAAAUCAACCGAGAUUCCCCCAGUAGCGGCGAGCGAACGGGGAGCAGCCCAGAGCCUGAAUCAGUGUGUGUGUUAGUGGAAGCGUCUGGAAAGGCGUGCGAUACAGGGUGACAGCCCCGUACACAAAAAUGCACAUGCUGUGAGCUCGAUGAGUAGGGCGGGACACGUGGUAUCCUGUCUGAAUAUGGGGGGACCAUCCUCCAAGGCUAAAUACUCCUGACUGACCGAUAGUGAACCAGUACCGUGAGGGAAAGGCGAAAAGAACCCCGGCGAGGGGAGUGAAAAAGAACCUGAAACCGUGUACGUACAAGCAGUGGGAGCACGCUUAGGCGUGUGACUGCGUACCUUUUGUAUAAUGGGUCAGCGACUUAUAUUCUGUAGCAAGGUUAACCGAAUAGGGGAGCCGAAGGGAAACCGAGUCUUAACUGGGCGUUAAGUUGCAGGGUAUAGACCCGAAACCCGGUGAUCUAGCCAUGGGCAGGUUGAAGGUUGGGUAACACUAACUGGAGGACCGAACCGACUAAUGUUGAAAAAUUAGCGGAUGACUUGUGGCUGGGGGUGAAAGGCCAAUCAAACCGGGAGAUAGCUGGUUCUCCCCGAAAGCUAUUUAGGUAGCGCCUCGUGAAUUCAUCUCCGGGGGUAGAGCACUGUUUCGGCAAGGGGGUCAUCCCGACUUACCAACCCGAUGCAAACUGCGAAUACCGGAGAAUGUUAUCACGGGAGACACACGGCGGGUGCUAACGUCCGUCGUGAAGAGGGAAACAACCCAGACCGCCAGCUAAGGUCCCAAAGUCAUGGUUAAGUGGGAAACGAUGUGGGAAGGCCCAGACAGCCAGGAUGUUGGCUUAGAAGCAGCCAUCAUUUAAAGAAAGCGUAAUAGCUCACUGGUCGAGUCGGCCUGCGCGGAAGAUGUAACGGGGCUAAACCAUGCACCGAAGCUGCGGCAGCGACGCUGAUGCGUUGUUGGGUAGGGGAGCGUUCUGUAAGCCUGCGAAGGUGUGCUGUGAGGCAUGCUGGAGGUAUCAGAAGUGCGAAUGCUGACAUAAGUAACGAUAAAGCGGGUGAAAAGCCCGCUCGCCGGAAGACCAAGGGUUCCUGUCCAACGUUAAUCGGGGCAGGGUGAGUCGACCCCUAAGGCGAGGCCGAAAGGCGUAGUCGAUGGGAAACAGGUUAAUAUUCCUGUGCUUGGUGUUACUGCGAAGGGGGGACGGAGAAGGCUAUGUUGGCCGGGCGACGGUUGUCCCGGUUUAAGCGUGUAGGCUGGUUUUCCAGGCAAAUCCGGAAAAUCAAGGCUGAGGCGUGAUGACGAGGCACUACGGUGCUGAAGCAACAAAUGCCCUGCUUCCAGGAAAAGCCUCUAAGCAUCAGGUAACAUCAAAUCGUACCCCAAACCGACACAGGUGGUCAGGUAGAGAAUACCAAGGCGCUUGAGAGAACUCGGGUGAAGGAACUAGGCAAAAUGGUGCCGUAACUUCGGGAGAAGGCACGCUGAUAUGUAGGUGAAGUCCCUCGCGGAUGGAGCUGAAAUCAGUCGAAGAUACCAGCUGGCUGCAACUGUUUAUUAAAAACACAGCACUGUGCAAACACGAAAGUGGACGUAUACGGUGUGACGCCUGCCCGGUGCCGGAAGGUUAAUUGAUGGGGUCAGCGCAAGCGAAGCUCUUGAUCGAAGCCCCGGUAAACGGCGGCCGUAACUAUAACGGUCCUAAGGUAGCGAAAUUCCUUGUCGGGUAAGUUCCGACCUGCACGAAUGGCGUAAUGAUGGCCAGGCUGUCUCCACCCGAGACUCAGUGAAAUUGAACUCGCUGUGAAGAUGCAGUGUACCCGCGGCAAGACGGAAAGACCCCGUGAACCUUUACUAUAGCUUGACACUGAACAUUGAGCCUUGAUGUGUAGGAUAGGUGGGAGGCUUUGAAGUGUGGACGCCAGUCUGCAUGGAGCCGACCUUGAAAUACCACCCUUUAAUGUUU